AGCGCCCGCGAGCGCCCCGCGGCCCACGGGAACGGGGCAGCGGCUCCAGCUGCGGCGGCCAGCACAGCGUCAGCCCCGCUCCCGGAGCGCGGCGGCAGCGGGCAGCGCUGCCCGUCCGCCCCGGCCCCGCCGCGAGAGGCUCGGCAGUGAACGAGCGGCGCCAACCCGAGAGGAUGCUGUUUAGUUGCUUUUCCAAGCAGUCCUUUCCUGUCAGAAACAAGCCCGCACGAGGUACUUGGGAGGAGGAAAACCCAGCAACCACAUCUCCUCCUGGGUCAGUCCAUCACGCAUCAAUCCACCAAGGCAGAGACAGGGAAAGUGGCAUCUCCAGAACGAUGCACCCUACCAAUCCACCCUGACCAUGGGAGCACUGGAGACUUUCACCUAGAGCCCAGCAUGCAAUCCCACUGAGCCACCGGAGGAAGGCUAAAGUUGAAGCAGAUAAGAACAAGCCCACACUAACUUCUUGUGAGUAGAAGAACAGUAAUUUCCCCACACAAAAUCAGUAAAUCACAGGGAGGGCAGGAGAUGUGCCCCACACUGCCCAGAGACAGCCAGGCCUGGAGGUUCCUGCCUGCCUGACCCCCAGAUGCUCCGUGCUAUGGAAACUCAGAUAGAACCCAGCUUUGGCACAUUCUCCAGUAAAGAGCCCGAAUGUUCAGAUUAGACUGGACUCUCCCAGUCCAGUCAGUGUAAAAAGGGAAGCAGCACAGGCUGGAGGACAAGAUUUUAAGGAUAAGCAUGAAUCCCUUUCAUUCUUUCUGUCAGAGGCUGACAUGGGCAAAAUAACGAGCUCUCACCCCUGCUAUGUGAGCACUACAAGGUGAGAAUUGAUUUUCAAGCCACAUGGAUCAGCUCAUCACACACACUAGAAGAGUACCUGGCAGCAAUGCAGGAUUUCUGCACCCCUUCCUUCCUCACUGUGCAAUCUGUUUACACAUUUCCUGGUUCAGCAACCACAUCUCAUCAUGCACCAGUCCAUCACAUAUCAAUCCACCAAGUCAGCAACAGGGAAAGUGGCAUCUCCAGAGCAAUGCAUCCUCCCAUGUCCUUCCUAACCAUGGGAGUGACAAAGCGUUUCACCUACAACUGGGAAUGCCAACCGAGCUUUGAGCUAGAGGAGGAAAGAUGAAGUUAGAGCUGCUGCUGCCCCUGCCUCGCUGUCUGCCCUCCACUGGCCCACUGAGACCGGAACAAGCAGAAGAGGCACAGAUCUCCCUUCCACUACCUCUACUUGUACCAGGUCUGUUCUGGAAUUUGCACCGGGCUCUGUGCCAAAGGGGCACAGAGCAGAAGAAACCCACGGGCAAACACCACCCAUGCAGGGAAAUCAUCAGCUCCACUCUUUGGCCAAAGAUCACCUGAGCCUCCACAGCCUCUCUCAGGGCAUGAAUGGCACGGCUCCCUCACCUGAUUAACCAGGUGGAAGGACACCAGGCUCCCAGCCCUCCCACCAGCCCACGGAGAUGAGGGGGUGGAGGACCACACAAGCAGGCUUCAAGGAAAAGCACUUCAGUCAGCUGUCAGCCACACUGCACUUUGGCAUUUGCAGGUGUUUUGGAAGAAACUAAUUGAAUUCUCAUUAAACCACUCCAAACAUUUGUCCUAAGAGAACAUCCUCACUUAUUUGUUUAUGGAGGAUGCUUUGUACUGUGAGUCGCUGCGUUUAGAUUAGCAUUCAGUGCCACUUUCCACCCCACUCCAUUUCUGUAUUAGACAGAGCUGUCAGCAUCUCACCUUCAGUGAAAAGAACAUCAAUAUUCCCUGGCAGCAGGCAGGGGAGGCUCUAUGCAAAGCCACAGUUUUACCAGGUUAACAAAUGUGCAGACUUGCAAACCUGGAAACUUGUUCUUGGCCAACUAGAUGGCUUAGCCCAACUACCUCCCUCCUUCAAUGCAGCUGCUGCCAGAACAGAAGGAGAACAGGUCCUCUUCUGACCAGAAUAUGUUCUACAUGGCUAUACUGAUGGGAACAGCCCCUGAACUGCACAGACCCUCCCCAUGGGCUAGCAAAACCUUUCUUAAAGUAUAUUUUCAAGCAACUCUUCUUCUCCUGGGCCUCAAGCAACUUCCCCUCCAUGGGAUAAACAGCUUCUUCCUCAGCUUGAUUACAGCAAUCCUAAAAUUGGAACUGAGGAACUAACAGGAAGAAAGAGCUGGGAUCUUAUUGAGAUCAACUCUAUUUCUGUCAUGUUGACUGAAAUAGGCAGUUGACCUUGUUCUACUUAUGACUACCUCAGUGCAAGCCACAGUUUGCUUUAUCACCAGCAUGGGGCAAGCAGGUACAGCAGAGAGUUCUCAGCACUCUCUGCCUGUCUCACAAAUCCCAUUCCUCCCAUUACAGCCAAGUGACCAGCAGUCACCCCCAUGCAACCAAAGCCAGGCAACAGGGAGAGUGGAGUUCAUGUUAAUGGGCUCCAGAAUUUCAACUCAUUAGUGAAUGAGCAAAGUGCUCUGGGUCACAGGAUGAGGUUUCCUCCCUCCUCCUCCACUUCCCUGAGGCAGUGAGCAAUAUUUACGUUCACCAUUUUCCUCAUGCUGGUGUGACAAACCAGUUUAACUGCAGAGGGUGCUUCCCUUGCCAGUCAAUUGUACCAAAGGCUAGUAAGGCCCACUGGAGUUUACACAGCUUUCAUUAAAGAAAUUUUCCCUUUGAAAAGGAUGAGAUUUUAAUUAAAACCAUCUCCUGCCUUCAAAGAGCCUCCCUCGAACCAGAAAACCACUCCUCACUUCCUUCUGCUCUUACAGCUGCCAGCUGAGUCCCACAACAUGCCUGGGAUCUCCCUUAAUUUUGGCCCAACAGGUGUGAUGCUGGGGGCUGCCAAGAUGUGCCAGAGUGGGUACAGGAGGCCAAGCUCCUGCUAAUCCCUGCAGGUGGGGUGAUGCAAUGUGCACAUGCAGUUCACAUGUUGCUGCUGCAAAGUUCUUUCAUUGGUAGGUCACCACCACUUUUAUCUUAGUGUGAUGCUCUGGCCUUGCUGAGCCUCUAAAAAUGUUGUUGUUCCAAGGGAAACAGCAUGUUCUCUCACUAUGGUUUAGGUGUCCCCUCUUCCUUUGUGAGGUCAAUGUGUACCAAAGCCACCAGGAGAUGAGGGAAGAACACUGAUGGUGGGAGAGGGUAAGAGAAGGUUACAGAUCAAUUUGGCUCUUGCAGAUGAGCCUGUCUCUGUCAUGCAUGCUUGUGACCAAACUUUAAGCAGGCAGACUACACUUCUACCACAUAAAUUAGUGACAGCAGUGGAACAAUAUAAUCAAUGGUUGCAAUUGUUAAACAUUUUAUGGCAAAUCCUGCUUGGUUUACUCAUGAGAUUGAGGGACUUCCUAAGGGACUUCUACCCCUCUGGGAAGAAGGAAAGUGACAUAAUGUAAUCAAGGCAGAAGAGGAAGCUGGCUUGCUUGUGCCCCCUUUUGAGAGCACAGCAAGCAGUACUUGGCCAUAAAUACAGAUCUUGUGCAAAAUGUUUUUUCUCACUUAGCAGGGAGAUUACCCAGCUCGGGUUAUGCUGACUGUUCCUAAUAGGAAUUUGCAGUGCCCUUUUCUUAUAUAGCAAGGACUAAAUAUAUACUCAAGUUUCUUUAGGUUUAAUGUUAAUGUCCCAGGCAUUUCUCAUGACUUCUGUUUUCCCACGCUGACGAUCCUGCAGCUGAUGGAUUGUGAAACCACGGUGCAGGGACUCACACAAGAGAUGUCAGCAGUGGAGAUUACACAUUAUGGGCUUGCUUCCCCAACCCACUGAGGAUUAGCACCACACCUACCAUCUACUUAGAUACCUCCUUGAGAGGUUAAUGCAUUGCUUGGUCCAAUAAUCAUUCUUCCCCCUGUUACUUGCUGAAAGCAAUUUGGCAUGCAGCCACCACCUGACCAGUCCUUUUUCUUGGUCCAAGCCAAUUCUUGUAGUUCUCCUGACCUCUAAUGAGCUCCUUCAGUCUUUGUAAGUAUCCUGCUCUCACCAGGCAGCCACAUGUUGCUCCUGAGUUGACGGUAAAAUACCUGCCAGCACCAGUAGCCCUGGCUCCAGAUCCCAGAAGAAGCAUUUUGCCCUGCAGCAGGUACAAUGUAUUGGAAAGACAUCUCCUAGAGAGGUGUUCACGUCCCAUCUUUGGGUUACACAGCUCUGCUCUGCCCAUGGGAGUCUCUCAGUGGAGCACUGCUGCAGCUCCACUUUCAGUGGCUGCUGGUGGGGUUGGUCAGCUCAGCCCUUGUUUCUAUGUUCAGCAGCAAACUGCAGAUGUCAGGAGCUGGAUGGGCAAGCUUUAAUUACAGCCUCUUCCCUGCUUAAAGCAGCGCCUCCACCAAUGCAUGCCAUAUUCAGGCAGCUGUGGGAUGGGCUGUCACUACCCUAAGGAUCAUCACCCUGCAAUAUUGCUCCAUCACCUCACCAAGGUGCCCUUUUGCAGGUGAUCUCUAGCUCAUGGCUCAUCCUUUGAGAUCUUACUGGAAUGAGUCACUACAGAUGAAAACAGUGGUGGUGCCAAUCCUCCAUGGCUGAGGCAGCAAUGCCCACACCACCCUCAUGAUGACAACCACACCGACCCCAGGAUUGCCUCCUUCCUCAUCACUGAAAGGCAGUUUUGCAUGAGGUCAUAGCAAUGGAUCUUGUCCAUCCUGAGAGCAUUGUCAGCAUGCUGACCAGUCCUCUGUGCUGCCUGCCUGAAACAAGGGAAAGAGGACCUGGCACUCUGCAAUCCAGUCAGAGAGUGCCAUACUCCAGAAGUGGCCCUGCAGGCUACAAAGUGACCACCUGAGAGAUAAGAUCCUGUCCAAAGUGGGGGAUCAUUGGUAGCUCAGAGAUCCCAGGUGACUUAAACCCAGACUGUUUAGGACAUAAAAGGAUGAGAAGCAAUCCCAGAAAGAAGAAUACAGGGCAGCCCCAAGACCAAACCAUUAAGUGCAUGCCAGGACACCCAUCAGAAUUUCAGUUCUAUGUGAAUCAACAGCAACACACUAAGAUGAGCUGAUAGCAUAAACAAUGCCUGGUGGUUUUCAUCUUUGUGUUCAAAUUCUGCUCUUCCUCCUAAAACGCUGAUAAUUUUGCUCAAAGAACACUGCUUCCUUUCCUUCUUCUCCAAAAUAAGGCAAUUAAUUACAGAGAUAUAAUAAUAAAGGUACAGAAAACUUGCA